CUACGGGUCGCAGCAGUGAGGAAUUUUGCGCAAUGGGGGAAACCCUGACGCAGCAACGCCGCGUGAGCGAAGAAGGCCCUCGGGUCGUAAAGCUCUGUCAAGUGGGAAAAAAAUUUUUUGAUCAAUAGUCAAAAGACUUGAUGGUACCACUGGAGGAAGCACCGGCUAACUCCGUGCCAGCAGCCGCGGUAAUACGUGAGGGUGCGAGCGUUGUUCGGAUUUACUGGGCGUAAAGAGCGUGUAGGCGGUUCAGCAAGUCAGAUGUGAAAGCCCUGGGCUCAACCCGGGAAGUGCAUUUGAAACUGCUUCACUAGAGUAUGGGAGAGGAGAUUGGAAUUCCUGGUGUAGAGGUGAAAUUCGUAGAUAUCAGGAGGAACACCCGUGGCGAAGGCGAUUCUCUGGACCAAUACUGACGCUGAGACGCGAAAGCGUGGGGAGCAAACAGGAUUAGAUACCCCAGUAGUC
rnacentral:rRNA from 1 species